CCUACGGGGGGCAGCAGUGAGGAAUAUUGGUCAAUGGGCGCGAGCCUGAACCAGCCAAGUCGCGUGAGGGAUGAAGGUUCUAUGGAUCGUAAACCUCUUUUAUAAGGGAAUAAAGUGUGGGACGUGUCCUAUUUUGUAUGUACCUUAUGAAUAAGGAUCGGCUAACUUCGUGCCAGCAGCCGCGGUAAUACGGAGGAUACGAGCGUUAUCCGGAUUUAUUGGGUUUAAAGGGUGCGUAGGCGGCCUUUUAAGUCAGCGGUGAAAGUCUGUGGCUCAACCAUAGAAUUGCGUUUGAAACUGGGGAGCUUGAGUAUGUUAGAGGCAGGCGGAAUGCGAGGUGUAGCGGUGAAAUGCUUAGAGAUCACGCAGAACCCCGGUUGCGAAGGCAGCCUGCCAAGCCAUGACUGACGCUGAUGCACGAAAGCGUGGGGAUCAAACAGGAUUAGAUACCCGGGUAGUC
rnacentral:rRNA from 1 species